rnacentral:rRNA from 1 species
UACGAAGGGGGGCUAGCGUUGCUCGGAAUCACUGGGCGUAAAGCGCACGUAGGCGGAUCUUUAAGUCAGGGGUGAAAUCCUGGAGCUCAACUCCAGAACUGCCUUUGAUACUGGGGAUCUCGAGUCCGGGAGAGGUGAGUGGAACUCCGAGUGUAGAGGUGGAAUGCGCAGAUAUCAGGAGGAACACCAAUAGCGAAGGCAGCUCGCUGGGACGGUACUGACGCUAAGGCGCGAAAGCGUGGGGAGCGAACAGG